rnacentral:rRNA from 1 species
CCUACGGGACGCAGCAGUGGGGGAUAUUGCACAAUGGGGGGAACCCUGAUGCAGCGACGCCGCGUGGGUGAAGGAGCGUUUCGGCGCGUAAAGCCCUAUCGGCAGGGAAGAAGGAGGACGGUACCUGACUAAGAAGCCCCGGCUAACUACGUGCCAGCAGCCGCGGUAAUACGUAGGGGUCAAGCGUUAUCCUGAUGUACUGGGUGUAACGGGGGCGCAGACGGCUGCGCAAGCGAGGAGUGAAAGCCCGGGGCACAACCCCGGGACUGCUCUUGGUACUGCGCGGCUGGAGUGCAGGAGGGGCAGGCGGAAUUCCUGGUGUAGCGGUGAAGUGCGGAGAUAUCAGGAGGAAGACCGGUGGCGAAGGCGGCCUGCUGGACUGCGACUGACGUUGAGGCCCGAAAGCGUGGGGAGCAAACAGGAUUAGAUACCCUGGUAGUC